UCCCAACCCAAUGUGAACCAUACCAAACUGUUGCCUCGGCGGGGUCACGCCCCGGGUGCGUCGCAGCCCCGGAACCAGGCGCCCGCCGGAGGGACCAACCAAACUCUUUCUGUAGUCCCCUCGCGGACGUUAUUUCUUACAGCUCUGAGCAAAAAUUCAAAAUGAAUCAAAACUUUCAACAACGGAUCUCUUGGUUCUGGCAUCGAUGAAGAACGCAGCCAA
rnacentral:misc_RNA from 1 species